rnacentral:tRNA from 1 species
GUAGUACAAUUCCUUGGUACAACAGCUAAGAAUUCAAGGUGCAUCACUGUAAUGAAAUCAGUGAGUUACUGAAGGUUGGUGAGAAUCGAGGGUUCGAAUCCCUCCCUCACCGCCA